AGUAACACGUGGGUAACCUGCCCAAGAGAUCGGGAUAACAUCUGGAAACAGGUGCUAAUACCGCAUAACAACGAAAACCACAUGGUUUUCGUUUCAAAGAUGGUUUCGGCUAUCACUUCAGGAUGGGCCCGCGGUGCAUUAGCUAGUUGGUAAGGUAACGGCUUACCAAGGCGAUGAUGCAUAGCCGAGUUGAGAGACUGAUCGGCCACAAUGGAACUGAGACACGGUCCAUACUCCUACGGGAGGCAGCAGAG
rnacentral:rRNA from 1 species